ensembl:lncRNA
AAGAUAGGAAAAGCUCUUGGCCACAUGGAUGCCAAAGGUUCUGACUAAAAUUUUCUGCAUCAGCAAAUUCAGGCAUCUCACUUCCUGGCCUGGAUCCCAAUGCAGUUGUGGCAUGGAGAAGCUGCCUUGUGCAGAUGGGCCAGAAACACUGCUCUGCAGGAAUGAAUUUAGGGAGGGAAGGAGGCCACAUCCCUGAGUCACUGGAGGGAGUAGAGGAGAAACAACCCUAGUGCUGUAUCUUGUGGUUUUACACAACUCAGCUUAAAAACAAGAAAACAAGCUCUCUGGAAAAUGGGAGGGAUUUGGCAAGCCCCUUAAACUUCAGGAACAUUAUGUUCCUUCCAGCAUGUCUUGAAUAACGGAAGUGGAGGGCUUUGGGGGAGGGAAGAAGCAGACAGAGUGGCUGGAAACAUCAUUUUUUUUUCCCUGUUAAACAAGCUCAGCCUGGAAAUUAACAUGGAAGAAAUUCAGGAUGAUUUAUACACACCUAAGACAGCCUCACGUAUAUACAUGGCCCUUCCCAAUUAAGGACAAUUAAACAAGGACAACGACUCCCCAAAGCUGUUGGUUUCCAAAGAAAGGAAUGCCAGGGAUGGCCUCGCCUUGAGAAUGCUCUGCAAAAAUGGCAAGAUCUCAAGCAUGCCCCUUAGGAGAAGGGGACUCUCUGCUCUGCCCCAGACCCAAGUUAAGGGAUCCAAUUUUUCUCUGGCACAGAGUUUUCUUUCAGUCAAUUAGAGGCUGCCCUCCCCAAAAGAAUCCAACAGGGCAUUUUAGAGAAGCAUCAUGGGAAUUUCCUAAGAGAUGGGUUGGAGGGGGCUGUGACGUGUCAGUUUUCUGCCUCUGAUCUAGAGGCACAGCUUAUACAGGCACAGUGAUUCUGAGUAACCAGGGAAGACGCAGCUGAACCAAAGCUGGAGGGUGUUUAACAUAGUCCUGUAGGAGGAGAAAAGGGCACACUUCUUCAAAAUGUCUACACAUAACAAGGCCAAAAUUUUCUUAAUUUCUUUGAGUAUGGCCACUUUUGUGGUUAUGGUGGUGUUGAAUGGUGGAGCAGGUUCUGGAGCAUUCAAAGGUAUAUUCCAGAGAACUGUUGGAAACAUCUCCAACAAGUACAACACCGACUUGACCCCAGCUGGCUGGACCUUUUUAAUUUGGAAUGUCAUCUAUUUGUGGCAGUUAGCAUGGCUCGGAUAUGCCCUAUCUGGAAUCUGCAGAAGGAAUGAACUUGGAUGGUUCUACGUGAAACCAGAUGUCCUGCCAACUCCAUUUUACUUGGUAUGGAUCCUGAAUAAUAUCUUGAAUGUCGGAUGGCUCUUUCUGUGGGACAAUGAGUUUUACCUAGAAAACUUCCUCCUGGAUAAGCAUGUCCGUUACAUCCUCACUGUGUACCCGGUGGUCAUGGUUGCAUUGUCUGGCAAUAUUGCUCAGCACUAUAAUACAACUGCUCCUAGUGGAAACAACGUCUUUGCAGUUGUCCUGAUGAUUGUGACAAGUGUGAUGUUUUUGGUUCGGCUUGGCUUAGUUACCUACAGGCACCGUUACCAGCCACUUCCAAUGAGUGAGUCGCUGUUCACAGGGGCAGGAAGAAGAGGAAGGAACCUCAAAGAUGUUGAAGAUGAUCUCAGGAAAGGAAGUUACAGAACUCAGGAGAUGGAGGAAGAACACCUUGCUAUGAGGUCAUUCUGAUUGUGGAGAAGACACUAAGGAUGAUUGCCUUAAAGCCACAGGAAAAGGAAAUAUGAAUGAAUGAAAUCAAUUUAUUCAACCUUUACUAUGCAUUAACUACUAUGCUAAGCAUUGGGCAUACAAAUACAGAAGAGAGACUUAUCUUUGUCCUCAUAUAACUUUUAAGGUGAAAACAAAGCAUACAAAAGAGUAGUGGCCAGGGAAGAAUGUUUUAGCCUAAGAAAUUGAAGAAAUGACAUACAAAGCCAUAGAGAGGAAUCAAAUGACAUACUCUUUAAAAAUCAAUUUUAUUUUUCAAUAAACAGGCUCUUUUCUAUUUCCCCA